rnacentral:sRNA from 1 species
GCCAAGCAUGGUGGUGCAUGCCUGUAUUCCCAGGGAUUUGGGAGGCUAAGGCAGGAGGAUUGCAAGAUCAAGGAUAGCCUUGGCAAUUUAGUAAGACCCUGUUUCAA